rnacentral:rRNA from 1 species
CACUGAGUACGAGUUGGUUAUAGAUGGGCAUGCGUGACAUUAGCUAGUUGGUAAGGUAACGGCUUACCAAGGCGACGAUGUCUAGGGGAACUGAGAGGUUAAUCCCCCACACUGGUACUGAGACACGGACCAGACUCCUACGGGAGGCAGCAGUGAGGAAUAUUGGUCAAUGGUCGGAAGACUGAACCAGCCAUGCCGCGUGAAGGAAGAAUGUCCUAUGGAUUGUAAACUUCUUUGUAAGGGAGCAAUAAGUUCCAUGCGUGGGAUGAUGAGAGUACCUUACGAAUAAGCAUCGGCUAACUCCGUG